rnacentral:rRNA from 1 species
CGUAAGCGUAUACCAAAGUUGUUGCAGUUAAAACGCUCGUAGUCGGAAUUUGGCAGUUCCGGAUGUGUGCACGUCGUGUGCGCACUUCGCGGGGAUUGCUUUUGUGGUCUUGCGUAGGAUGAGGCACUUUUAUUAGUGAACGUCCUCACGCAACCACUUUUUACUGUGAGAAAAUCAGAGUGCUCAAAGCAGGCAUUUGCCGUGAAUGUAUUAGCAUGGAAUAAUAGAAUAGGACUUGGUUCUAUUUUGUUGGUUUGUUGGGACUGAGUAAUGAUUAAGAGGGACAGUUGGGGGCAUUUGUAUUUCGGUGCUAGAGGUGAAAUUCUUAGAUUACCGAAAGACAAGCUGCUGCGAAAGCGUCUGCCAAGGAUGUUUUCAUUGA